rnacentral:tRNA from 1 species
GUGCUUGUGGUGUAGUGGUUGUCACAUCCGCCUAACACGCGGAAGGUCCCAGGUUCGAUCCCUGGCAAGCACA